rnacentral:rRNA from 1 species
UGGGGAAUAUUGGGCAAUGGGCGAAAGCCUGACCCAGCAACGCCGCGUGAGGGAAGAAGGUUUUCGGAUUGUAAACCUCUGUCCUUGGUGACGAAGGAAGUGACGGUAGCCAAGGAGGAAGCCCCGGCUAACUACGUGCCAGCAGCCGCGGUAAUACGUAGGGGGCGAGCGUUGUCCGGAAUGACUGGGCGUAAAGGGCGCGUAGGCGGCUUUUUAAGUUAGAAGUGGAAGUCCUGCUUUUAAGGUGGGAAUUGCUUUUAAUACUGGAAGGCUUGAGUGCAGAAGAGGUAAGUGGAAUUCCCAGUGUAGCGGUGAAAUGCGUAGAGAUUGGGAAGAACACCAGUGGCGAAGGCGACUUACUGGGCUGUAACUGACGCUGAGGCGCGAAAGCGUGGGGAGCAAACAGG